rnacentral:pre_miRNA from 1 species
CAGAUGAUAUAGAUGAGGCGGAGUUUGACACAAGCAUGUAUCAUUUCAGUGAGGCAUAUACCUCGAGCGAGGGAUAGCAAGAGUUUGAGCGAAGCUCACAGGAACAACAACAAGCUGCAGAAGUGGUGCAAGAAACAGGAUAAGUUACUCGCCAAAUGCCUCAUGGCUAUCAAGUUUCUGAAGGACAAGAUCAGCUGCUCCUCUUCCACUACAGCUAUUCCG